UUUACAUUUUAAUUUCUUUAUUAAAUAUAAUAUUAAUAAUUUAUAUUAAAUAUAAAAAUAUAUUUAUAAAAUAAAAAGACGACAAGACCCUAUUAAAUUUUACUUAUUGUUUAGCUGGGGCAGCUUUUUAAAUAAAAUUUUAAAUUAUUUAAAUUCAAAUAUAUAAUAUAAUAAAAAAUCUAAUAUAAUUAAAUUAAUCAAAUUACUAUAGGGAUAACAGCGUUAUAUUUUUUUCAAGUUCAUAUUUAAAAAAAUUAUUGCGACCUCGAUGUUGAAUUAUAUUUCUUUAUUAAUGCAACAAUUAUAAAAGUAGGUCUGUUCGACCUUUAAAAUAUUACAUGAUUUGAGUUCAAACCGGUGUAAACCAGGUUGGUUUCUAUCUUUUUUACAAUUUUUCUAGUACGAAAGGACAAAUAAAUUUUUAUUAUAAAAUUAAUUAGCAAAUUUAUGCAUUAGAUUUAGAUUCUAAAUAUUCUAUUUAUAAUUAUUUUAAAUUCUUUAAUUUCUAUAAUUAGAUUAUUAAUUAUAGUAGCAUUUUAUACUAUUUUAGAACGAAAAAUUCUUAGUUAUAUACAAAUUCGAAAAGGUCCUAAUAAAGUAGGAUUUAUAGGAAUUCUUCAACCUUUUAGUGAUGCUAUUAAAUUAUUUAACAAAAAUCUCAUUUCUUCAGAAAGAAUAAAUUUUUUAUUAUCAUAUAUUUCUCCUGCUAUAUCCUUAAUUUUAUCAUUAAUAAUUAUCAUUAUUUUACCUAUAUAUUGAAAUUCUCCUUUUGAUAAUAAAAAUAGAAUUAUUAUAUUUUUUGU
rnacentral:rRNA from 1 species